CUUCCAACACUGUUUUACUGUGGAACUUCUGCAAGACUGCCAGCAGAGGGAUGCUGAUGAAAACAACAAUGGCAGCCAGACCCAAAGAAAGAGACAGAGUGAGAUUUGGGGCUGCACCACCAAGAGGAACGAUCAAGAAGUACAACAA